rnacentral:rRNA from 1 species
AUUGAACGCUGGCGGCAGGACUAACACAUGCAAGUCGAACGAGUGGCAGACAGGUGAGUAAUGUCUGGGAAACUGCCAUAUGGAGGGGGAUAACUACUGGAAACGGUAGCUAAUACCGCAUACAAUCAGAUGUGCCCAGAUGGGAUUAGCUUGUUGGUGGGGUAACGGCGCACCAAGGCGACGGUCCCUAGCUGGUCUGAGAGGAUGACCAGCCACACUGGAACUGUGACACGGUCCAGCCUCCUACGUGAGGCAGCAGUUGUGAAUAUUGCAAAAUGGGCGAAAGCCUGAUGCAGCCAUGCCGCGUGGAUGAAGAAGGCCUUCGGGUUUUAAAGUACUUGCAGCGGUGAGGCGUUACCCGCAGAAUAAGCACCGGCUAACUCCGUGCCAGCAGCCUCGGUAAUAC